rnacentral:rRNA from 1 species
CUUUACUGUAGCCUGGUAUUGGGUUCGGGCUUUGACUGCGCAGGAUAGGUGGGAGACUAUGAAGCUGCCCUUGUGGGGGCAGUGGAGUCAUCAGUGAGAUACCACUCUGUCAAGGCUAGAAUUCUAACCGUCUGCCGUUAUCCGGCGACGGAACAGUAUCAGGUGGGCAGUUUGACUGGGGCGGUCGCCUCCUAAAUGGUAACGGAGGCGCGCAAAGGUUCCCUCAGGCUGGUUGGAAGUCAGCCGAAGAGUGUAAAGGCAGAAGGGAGCUUGACUGCAAGAGCAACAACUCAAGCAGGGACGAAAGUCGGCCUUAGUGAUCCGACGGCGCUGAGUGGAAGGGCCGUCGCUCAACGGAUAAAAGUUA